GACGAUGACAGGGAGGUUUUUAGAUGCUCAUUAGCCAGGAAGAUAAUUAAGGGCGAGGGCUGAGCUCGCCUUGGCUCCCUGGGGCUUGCUGGGGCCCAGCUGGGCCUGCCCUGUGCCAGCCUGGCCCUGUGCCCACUUCCCUGGGGGCGCAGGAGGGCCUGGGACAAGGGAGGGGCUUGCCAGGGAAUAGAGAGGCCUCAGCCAGCCUCCAGGGAGACUCCAGUGGGGCCUGUUAGGGUUCCAGGCCUAAACAUGAAGAGAACUGCUGGGCCAGAGGGCAAUUCCACAAAGGGUGAGAGGUCAGUGUAUCAUGGCUGGUUUCCUGUGGACAGCCUCUUGAAUGGUGUACGGGUAUCUGCUAAUUUACAGUGCUGUGUGAGCAUUCUUUUUUUUUUUUCUAUUUUUAAUAUUUUUUUGGCUUUGUUGGGCUUAGUUGUAGCACAUGGGCUGUUUGUUACAGUGCACAAGCUUCUCUCUAAUUAUGGCCUGUGGGCUCCAGAGUGCACAGUCUCAGUAGUUGAGGUGCUUGAGCUUGGUUGCCCUGCAGCAUGUGGGAUCUUAGUUCCCUGAUCAAGGAUCGAACCUUCGUCUCCUGCAUUGGGAGGCAGAUUCUUAACCACCGGACCACCAGGGAAAUCCUUGGGCAUCCUUAUAAGUGGCUCUUGAUUGUGCAUGCAAGAGUUUCUCU
rnacentral:lncRNA from 1 species